rnacentral:piRNA from 1 species
UGGGAAGUAGUUGAAUGCUUAGAGAGG